rnacentral:misc_RNA from 1 species
GCGCGCGGGCAAACGAGGUUCAGCCCGCCGAAGCUUCUGGAAGCGCCUGGAGAGCGCGCGAAGAGUUUGGGGCACGCAAGAAGCGCCUGGGCGCGCUGAACUAGCCCGUAGGCGACCUGGAGCGCCUAAGGAGGCAGGCAAAACCAGAUUCAUGCUUGGAAAUUUCCAGAAAUGCCCAGAAUUGCCCAGAACCGCCAGAAACCUUCUUGGAGCCAGAUUUUUGGCUAGAACAGUCCAGAAACUGCCCAGAAUGUGACCAGCUUCUCCAGCAAGCUUCUUGGGAUAUUUUUAUGGGAAAUGUGCCAAAAAACUUCCUAAGGCAAAAUCCCAACCCUCCAUCCAAAAUUGGUGAUCCCAAGGCACAUCUUAGCCAUCCAUUUGGAGGUGCAAUUUCAGCCACAACACUAUAAAUAGGAGGCCUUGGCAUUCAUUUGGGACAACCAACCAAACAUCCAACAAAGCAUCAACCAAGCAUCCAAGCUUCCUACAAACACUUGUGCACUUAAGCUUUGUGUAGUUGUUCUCUUAUAAAGCUUAGGCUUGUAUAGCCAUUUUUCUUGAGUUAAUAAAAUUACCUUCCCUUUGUCCAAAUUCUUCCCACUACUAUCUUUUGUUUCCUUUUGUACCUUCUCACUUAGGCAUACUUUUAUCACCCUUAUUAGUCUAUUACAUAGACUAAGUGUGUUGGAAGGCUGACUUAGUCUUAGGGGGAAGACUAAGGCCGCACGGGUUGCUAGAGUUUGGUGUUGAUAAACUCUCAGUCUGUGACAGAAUGCACUGGUACAAAUCCAAUCCACACGUUUACAAGGAGACGUUGAAAAGCCACUCAAGCCAGUGUUUGAGUUUUGUAUUGCAAGCCUGCUGCAAGCUCACGUGAGACAUUUCGAGGACAAUUAUUGCGACUUGGGACCCAACAAUAAUCUCACUGUCCAUCAACAAACGCCUCCUCAUCUUUGAUUGCCUCCAUGCUCCUCCAGAGUCCAAUCGGCCCACCCAUCGGAACAAGUCAGUCACUUCUCCUUUGUGACCUGUAGAAUCCCAUCUCACUCCGUUUCCAUUUCAAUUCCCUAUCUUUACAGGUAACCUUCCGCUAUGUUCAACUUCUGAUAGAAAGAAAGAUCUCCCUCUGUAAAGGUUUAAAAGUUUUAGUUUUUUGAAUCAUGGGGACUGAUUCGGCUUUGAAUUCCACAAAGCCUACACAAAGACCUACUCAAGAAGAAGACUCACAUAACUCAUCCAAUCCUUCUCGGAAACACACCACCACCAUCAUCUUCAUCUCUCUCCUCCUCAUCACCUGCAUUGCUAUCUCUGCUGCCUCUGCCUUCGCUUUCCUCUUCUUCUCCACUACUUCGUCUUCUUCUUCUUCUUGGCCUGCGCCUGCGCAGACAUCGUC